rnacentral:lncRNA from 1 species
AACUCUUUUCCUUCAGUCAGCAUUAGGGUUUUAAACCCUAAACUGAACUCUUUUCCUUUAGUCAGCAUUAGGGUUUUAAACCUUAAACUGAACUCUUUUCCUUUAGUCAACAUUAGGGUAUUGAACCCUAAACUGAACUUUUUUCCUUUAGUCAGCAUUAGGGUUUUAAAUCCUAAACUGAACUUUUUCCAUGUAGUCAGCAUUAGGGUUUUAAACCCUAAACUGAACUUUUCUCCUUUAGUCAGCAUUAGGGUUUUAAACCCUAAACUGAACUCUUCUCCUUUAGUCAGCAUUAGGGUUUUAAACCUUAAACUGAACUUUUCCUUUAGUCAGCAUUAGGGUUUUAAACUCUAAACUGAACUCUUUUCCUUUAGUCAGCAUUAAGGUUUUAAUCCCUAAACUGAACUCUUUUCCUUUAGUCAGCAUUAGGGUUUUAAUCCCUAAACUGAACUCUUUUCCUUCAGUCAGCAUUAGGGUUUUAAACCCUAAACUGAACUUUUUCCCUUCAGUCAGCAUUAGGGUUUUAAACCCUAAACUGAACUUUUCCAUUUAGUCAGCAUUAGGGUUUUAAACCCUAAACUGAACUUUUCCAUUUAGUCAGCAUUAGGGUUUUAAACCCUAAACUGAACAUUUUCCUUUAGUCAGCAUUAGGGUUUUAAACCCUAAACUGAACAUUUUUCAUUUAGUCAGCAUUAAGGUUUUAAACCCUAAACUAAACUUUUCCAUUCAAACAGCAUUAGGGUUUUAAACCCAAAACUGAACUUUUCCUUUAGUCAGCAUUAGGGUUUUAAACCCUAAACUGAACAUUUUCCAUUUAGUCAGCAUUAGGGUUUUAAAACCUAAACUGAACUUUUUCCAUUCAGUCAGCAUUAGGGUUUUAAACCCUAAACUGAACUUUUCCAUUCAGUCAGCAUUAGGGUUUUAAACCCUAAACUGAACUUUUCCUUUAGUCAGCACUAGGGUUUUGAACCCUAAACUGAACUUUUCCAUUCAGUCAGCAUUAGGGUUUUAAACCCUAAACUGAACUUUUCCAUUUAGUCAGCAUUAGGGUUUUAAACCCUAAACUGAACUUUUCCAUUCAGUCAGCAUUUGGGUUUUAAACCCUAAACUAA